ACAAUAAGCAAAAUAAGGGCGUAUGGGGGGAUGCCUAGGCUCUCAGAGGCGAAGAAGGACGUGAUAAGCUGCGAAAAGCUACGGGGAUUGGCACACACGAAUAGAUCCGUAGAUAUCCCAAUGGGGCAACCCACUAUGUAGAAGACAUAGUAUCCAAAUAGGAGGCAAACCCGCUGAACUGAAACAUCUAAGUAGGCGGAGGAGAAGAAAACAAAAGUGAUUCCGUAAGUAGUGGCGAGCGAACGCGGAAUAGCCCAAACCGUUGUUGUUACGGCAAUAACGGGGUUGUAGGACCACAAUAUUUCUUGUAAACUGAAUUAGAAUAACCUGGAAAGGUUAACCAAAGAAGGUGAAAGUCCCGUAUAAGCAAAGAAUAUAAAGAAUAGUGGUAUCCUGAGUAGGGCGGGGCACGAGAAACCCUGUCUGAAUCUGGCGGGACCAUCCGCUAAGGCUAAAUACUCCUGAGAGACCGAUAGUGAACCAGUACCGUGAGGGAAAGGUGAAAAGAACCGUGAAUAACGGAGUGAAAAAGAACCUGAAACCAUACGCCUACAAGCGGUCGGAGCAGCAUAAGCUGUGACGGCGUGCCUUUUGCAUAAUGAGCCUACGAGUUACCGUUACUGGCAAGGUUAAGUGAUUAAGUCACGGAUCCGUAGCGAAAGCGAGUCUGAAUAGGGCGCUAUAGUCAGUAGUGGUAGACGCGAAACCGUGUGAUCUACCCAUGGGCAGGAUGAAGCUGUGGUAACACACAGUGGAGGUCCGAACCGGUUGACGUUGAAAAGUCUUCGGAUGACCUGUGGGUAGGGGUGAAAGGCCAAUCAAACUCGGAAAUAGCUCGUACUCCCCGAAAUGCAUUUAGGUGCAGCGCUGUGGUCUAGUUAUAUAGAGGUAGAGCUACUGAUUGGAUGCGGGGCUUCACCGCCUACCAAUUCCUCAGACAAACUCCGAAUGCUAUAUAAUAUACACAGCAGUGAGGGCUUGGGUGUCCAAGUCCAAGCCGAGAGGGAAAGAACCCAGACCAUCAGCUAAGGUCCCCAAAUGUAUGCUAAGUUGAACAAACGCGGUUUGAUUGCAUCGAGACAGCAGGAUGUUGGCUUGGAAGCAGCCAUUCAUUUAAAGAGUGCGUAACAGCUCACUAGUCGAGCGAUCGAGCAUGGAUAAUAAUCGGGCAUAAGCAUACUACCGAAGCUAUGGAUUUGUACACUGUACAAGUGGUAGGGGAGCAUUCUAACAUCGCCGAAGGUGUCUUGUGAGAGAUGCUGGAGAAGUUAGAAAAGAAAAUGUAGGCAUAAGUAACGAUAAGGGGUGCGAGAAACACCCCGCCGCAAAACUAAGGUUUCCGCAGCUAUGCUAAUCAGCUGCGGGUUAGUCGGGUCCUAAGGCGAAUCCGAAAGGAACAGUCGAUGGCCAACGGGUUAAUAUUCCCGUACUACUUAUAAUUGUGAUGGAGCGACGCAGUGGUGAGUGAAAGUAAACUGACGGAAUAGUUCGUUAAAGCACCUAACUAUAGGCCCAGUAGGCAAAUCCGCUGGGACUGGUGAAAUGCGAUAGUACUCGGAGUCUUCGGACAAAGGAUAGUGUACCUAAAGGCUGCCAAGAAAACCUUCUAAACAUAGAUUAUAAGUACCCGUACCGUAAACCGACACAGGUAGUUGAGGAGAGUAUCCUAAGGCGCUCGAGAGAUUCAUGGCUAAGGAAUUAGGCAAAAUAGACCUGUAACUUCGGGAGAAAGGUCGCCAGCGCAAGCUGGCCGCAGUGAAAAGGUCCAGGCGACUGUUUAUCAAAAACACAGGGCUCUGCAAAAUCGUAAGAUGACGUAUAGGGCCUGACACCUGCCCGGUGCUGGAAGGUUAAGAGGAGAUGUUAUGAGCAAUCAGAAGCAUUGA
rnacentral:rRNA from 1 species